rnacentral:misc_RNA from 1 species
UUGAGAGCUCUGUCCCUGCGC